rnacentral:rRNA from 1 species
AUUGAACGCUGGCGGCAUGCUUUACACAUGCAAGUCGGACGGCAGCACAGAGACUUUUGCUUCUUGGGUGGCGAGUGGCGCACGGGUGAGUAAUAUAUCUGCACGUCCUGAGUAAUGGGGGAUAACUCAUCGAAACAUUAGCUAAUACCGCAUAUUCUCUUAGGCGUAAAGCAGGGGACUUUCGGGCUUUGCGUUAUUCGCGCGGCCGUUCUCGGAUUAGCUAGUUGGUGGGGUAAAGGCCUACCAAGGCGACGAUCAGUAGCGGAUCUGAGAGGUUGAUGGGCCACACUGGAAGUGAGACACGGCCCAGACUCCUAAGGGAGGCAGCAGUGGGGAAUGUUAGGCAAUGGGCGCAAGACUGAUCCAGCCAUGCCGCGUGUGUGAAGAAGGCCUUCGGGUUGUAAAGGACGUUUGUGAGGGAAGAAAAGGUUGGUGCGGAUACCGACAGCUGGUGACGGUACCUGAAGAAUAAGCACCGGCUAACUACGUG